GCGGCCGUGGUCGAGUGGUAAGACGCUGCUAUGCCAAGGCAGAAGCGCGGGUUCGAUCCCCGCCGGCCGCA
rnacentral:tRNA from 1 species